AGAGUUUGAUCCUGGCUCAGAACGAACGCUGGCGGCAGGCUUAACACAUGCAAGUCGAACGCAUCCUUCGGGGUGAGUGGCAGACGGGUGAGUAACGCGUGGGAACGUGCCCUUCAGUUCGGAAUAACCCAGGGAAACUUGGGCUAAUACCGGAUACGUGCGAGAGCAGAAAGAUUUAUCGCUGAAGGAUCGGCCCGCGUCUGAUUAGCUAGUUGGUGAGGUAAUGGCUCACCAAGGCGACGAUCAGUAGCUGGUCUGAGAGGAUGAUCAGCCACAUUGGGACUGAGACACGGCCCAAACUCCUACGGGAGGCAGCAGUGGGGAAUAUUGGACAAUGGGCGCAAGCCUGAUCCAGCCAUGCCGCGUGAGUGAUGAAGGCCUUAGGGUUGUAAAGCUCUUUCGGCGGGGACGAUAAUGACGGUACCCGCAGAAGAAGCCCCGGCUAACUUCGUGCCAGCAGCCGCGGUAAUACGAAGGGGGCUAGCGUUGUUCGGAAUCACUGGGCGUAAAGGGCGCGUAGGCGGCUUGAUAAGUCGGGGGUGAAAGCCUGUGGCUCAACCACAGAAUUGCCUUCGAUACUGUCUGGCUUGAGACCGGAAGAGGUAAGUGGAACUGCGAGUGUAGAGGUGAAAUUCGUAGAUAUUCGCAAGAACACCAGUGGCGAAGGCGGCUUACUGGUCCGGUUCUGACGCUGAGGCGCGAAAGCGUGGGGAGCAAACAGGAUUAGAUACCCUAGUAGUCC
rnacentral:rRNA from 1 species